GUCGCUGUCUGUAUGCUGGACCUAAUGAAAUUGGAUAUUUGGCUCCUCAUCUGUUUCCUGACCAGGGUUUGAAUCCUGCUAAUGGAUUAGCACCAGGAAACUCCUGCCAGGGGCCAGCGAAAUAGACCAGCACCUACCAUGUUUUGGGGAAUGGUAAUUCAAUUUGGUUAGCUCACCUCGUUGCUCUCUAGAGAUUGCUUGUGGUGGCUGGGGCACUUGUGAGCUGAGUUGAGGUAGAAGACCGGAGAGUGUGUUCCUUCCUCUGCGCAAGGAUUCUUUGUUGAGAAAGCUGAAUGUCUGCAACCAGAUCGGCAUCGGCAAACAUACAAUAUCUCAACAUCGAUUCCCUAAUCUGUCAGGAUUUGUUGAAAAGAAGCAGGGCUUUAAUCACAAAAUAUAGGACAAAAUACAGUAAAAUGUGUUUAUCUUUUUAAUCACAAAGCUUCACCAUGUCAGCCAACACGACAUACUGUUAAUAUCUAGUACUGUGUGUAGAAUUGUUUGCUUUUUCCAUUGGCUGACUAAGGUUUCAUAAGGUUUUCAUGUUCCCAAAUGGCAGUGACAUUGUAUUGAACUUGAUGUCUACGCCCUAUGGUUGGCAGCAUCUUACUUCAGACAGAUUAGAGAGACCAGACAAGUAAACACAGUGGUUUCCCUAGUUCCCCUAAAACAUCAUUGAGCUGUUGUCAA